UCUAAUAGCAGUAUGUGUCCUUUCUCCCCAAUGAGGUAUACAGCUUCCUAGGAGCAGAUAUUAUAUCUGCCCAAAUCAGAGUUAGCAUAUGUAAGAGAGUCAGUAAAAUACUUCCUGAAUUCAACUGAGGCAAUUCCAUGAAGAAAAAGGAACCACAAGAGGGAACAUCAUGAGAUAAAUCAAGACUUCCCACUAUCCAACUGUAAAGUUCCCAAUCAUCAACAACUUCAUGCCCACCCUCCACCACAAAGGGAAAGGAAACUGCCCUUAGCAUCCCUGAAGGGAUUUUGCCUUGCUUGUGUCUCAAAACUCUUCUGUGCUCUGUGACCCAGGAUGUCAGCGUAUCAUCAAACAACACUCUGAUUUUUUUUUUUUUUUUACCUUAUCUCCUGUUCUUAGACCUUGGCCUCUCUUCCUCAGUGUACUGAAUCAGCUUUUGCUAUAAUUUUGGUGACUCAUAUUGGCCCUGAUCAUUAUUGGAAUCCCGUAAGUUUCAUAUUCUGCUCCAAGAAACAUUUGGAUAAAUUGAGAAAAACUAAUAGCCUUUCAUGGUAAUAACAGUCUACUCCCUUCAUGAUGUCAACAAAUGCUAUCAGAGUCCACACAAGACCUCCCAAACAUUUCUGAUGAUCAGAGACAAGAUACCGUCUUAUAUACCAAAAACCUCAGGUGAGAAACAGAAGUAAACUGGCAAGCCAUCCCUGAAGCUCCAGACAGCAAACACAGCAAGCAUGCAGCUUCCCCUUCUGUCUGGAGGAAUCUUGUGCUAAGCAGCACCUACCCACAAGCCUUUGUUUCUCUACAGAUGGAAAAGCUCCUGCCAUCCUGGGCAGCACAUGGUAGAGGGGAGGCAGCCACUGACCUUCUGGGUAAUCUGUCAUGACGACCUGAUAGCAGACCGGCAGGAUGCUCCAAACUGUCACCAAAGAUGUCACGAGUGCUUCUGAGGCUCAAGAAUCUAAUUUUCCUUACUUAAAAUAAAAGGACUGAAUGCUGGAUGAAUAACCCUUUUUUUCACCCCCUAAACAAAUCUCAUAGGGAAUCCUAAUAUAUAAAAUAACCAAAGUGCAAGCCCUGGGUUAAAGCCGAGGAUGGGUGCUAGAGAUGGGCUAGAGCAUGUCUGCUUAGCUUUCUUCCACUAUCCCAGCCAUUUAAAGACCACAAGUUAGCUUCCUGGAAUUCAGUUUGACAAACACUUAGGCUAGAUCAUUGUCAGGGGACCUUCAUUUCAAGCUCCAUGGAGUAGGUCGGGGACUCUGCCUUGGUCAUCCCUGAAUCCCCACAGCCAUGGUUCUAGCACACAGUAAGCACUAAAAACCAAAACCCAAAAACCCGUAUGAUAAUGUAUGUCUACAGACAUUCGAUGAAUGGAUGAAUAAAAGAUUUUUCAGAUACCAUGAGAUGUGUUUAUCUAUUUAAGAUUAUAACUCCAUUGACCAAUAGAGUUGGGUUUUAAGCUAUAACCCCCCAAUCUGACCAUCUACUAUAUACCUUCCCUUCCCCCAACUUUUCUCUCUACACAUAUAAAAACUCAGCCUUAUCUUCUCUGAGAUUGCAUCUCAAACACCAAAUGAAAAUGUCUCCCAAAUGGGCAGACAGCUUGUUUAUACAGAAAUAAUUGCUUCAGCACAGUGUCCUCCUUUACAGGAAAACUGGAAGAAAAUGCUGAGUAGGCAGAUUCCUCCUCCUUUGCAUUAGGAAGAAAUUUAAAACCUGUUUCAGUUGUUUCUUUGGCCUUGUGUAAAAAUAAGGCUUUUCUCCCCAACCUUGGGGCUAAGUAAAAAAUAAAUAAAUAAAUAAAUCUAAACCUGGCUUACAGUUUCUCUGAGCUCCCAAAAUAAGUCCAUGCGAUUUUGAAAUGUAUUCUUCCCCCUUCUUUUCUUAAGUUGGAACCAGUCAGAGAUGAGUGGAUGUUCAUUUGGCAGCUUGAAACUGCUGAGAAAGGUGGAAACAAUAUGGAUGUCUUGGCAUCAUUCACUCUCCCUCUCUUCCCUCUCCCCAGAAGAGGCUGUAAUGCUAAGUGUGGAUCCUGCCAACUAAGCCAAGGCUGGAUCUUGAGGCAGGCCAUCAGGUGGUUA
rnacentral:lncRNA from 1 species